rnacentral:lncRNA from 1 species
UAACACAGGCCGUGCUAUAGGGCGUGGUACCCUUAGAAAACGUGCUGCUUGAAAGUACUUAAGCUAUAAAGCCUGGAAUUUCUACACGGGCCAUAUUGACUUCCCAAAAGUCAAUUCAAGGUAAAAAUGCUUAUGAUUCCAUCCCUUUUCGCCCGAAAUUGAUCUAAAAUUGCUAAAGCAUUGAUGAUGGACCUAUAUAAUCUCAUGAAACACGAAAG